GGGUUGUAAAGUACUUUCAGUCGUGAGGAAGGCGGUGUCGUUAAUAGCGGCGUUGUUUGACGUUAGCGACAGAAGAAGCACCGGCUAACUCCGUGCCAGCAGCCGCGGUAAUACGGAGGGUGCGAGCGUUAAUCGGAAUUACUGGGCGUAAAGCGCAUGCAGGUGGUUUGUUAAGUCAGAUGUGAAAGCCCGGGGCUCAACCUCGGAAUAGCAUUUGAAACUGGCAGACUAGAGUACUGUAGAGGGGGGUAGAAUUUCAGGUGUAGCGGUGAAAUGCGUAGAGAUCUGAAGGAAUACCGGUGGCGAAGGCGGCCCCCUGGACAGAUACUGACACUCAGAUGCGAAAGCGUGGGGAGCAAACAGGAUUAGAUACCCUGGUAGUCCACGCCGUAAACGAUGUCUACUUGGAGGUUGUGGCCUUGAGCCGUGGCUUUCGGAGCUAACGCGUUAAGUAGACCGCCUGGGGAGUACGGUCGCAAGAUUAAAACUCAAAUGAUUUGGACGGGG
rnacentral:rRNA from 1 species